AAAAAGAUGAAGGGUAUAGUUGGUAUUAAGGUGGGGGUUUAAAGAAAAAAUGAGGGGAUUCAUUUUGUUGGGUGGGGGUUCAAAGAAAUAGAGGGGCUAAAGUAAAGAGGUAGGUGCUAAUAUUAGCCCUCUUUAUAUUUACAAGUCCUAGGAUUUUGAGUGGAAAUGACCUAUUUACCCUUCCAGAAAAAACAACACCGUUCUCCCCAUUUCUACUCAUUUCACGAUUGUCAGGCUCUCUCUCUCUCUCUCUCUCUCUCUCUCUCUCUCUUUCUGCGUUAGACCCACCACCCUCUAUUCAGUCUUUCCCUUGCACUUUGGCGCAGUCCUUUUUCCCUUACUCUCAUCUCACUUCCUAAAGGCAGAGAUACAAAGGAUGUACUUCUUGAAAAGUUUGAUCUACAACAAAUUUUGGGCUACUUCUUGAGUUUGUUUGAUGGAACAUUAUGGGUCUAUAAUCCUUGCAUGCUAAGUGUUUGUUAAAAUGCAUGCAAGAGAAUUAUUGUUUUUGUAGGAUUCUUGUAUAUGAACUUAUUAGUUAAUUGUGUUGUGCCCUUUAAGUGUUUGAUGAAAUGCCUAUGACAAUGUACUUUGUUGGAAUUGGGUCAUGUAAUCUAUGUAAAUUUAUUAUUCUGUUAUGAAUUUCAUGGUGUAUGCAUACCAGGAAGUAGACAUUGUCAAA